rnacentral:sRNA from 1 species
GAGAGAGAGUAUCAGCUGAAGAGAGAAGAACUGGAUUUGGAGAGGAUGAAGUUAGCGGAAGCUAAAGCACAGAAGUGGAACGCCGAAACGUCGGCGGUUAACCUUAAAAGGACACAUCAGUUGAUACACGGAAUUCUAGCCAAUCCAGACCUCAGGUUCAGCGAGAUCAGAAGGAAAUUGCAGGGACACCCAAAGAUCAACCACCCAAAUUCAAGUAUCGAUAUUACGUGCUACAAGUGUCGAAAACCAAGCCACUUCUCAUAUCAGUGUUCAAAGGGACGGAAUUCUGUUGGGAUGGCAGUCGACGGGAAAGGAUCUUCGGAUAACAGUAAUCCAGGCAAAUGCGCUGCAUUUACUAGAGUAACUACUACCUCAUCCAUAUCCACAGCAAACAAUUUUAGUAUUCUGAACACUUCUUGUAACGCUAGUGCAUCAGUAGGUAGCUUGCCUACAAGUGAUGGUACUGUUUUCUCAAUAGCAGUAACAACAGUACCAUCUACCAAUACAUCAAAACAAUUCUACGACAUCGUUACCGUAGAAGUUGUUUUCAUUUAACAUUUGAAAAAUAAUUAAUGGCAGUCAUUAUAAUAGUGGUAGAUGGUAUUAUUUUUGGCCAGCGAUGCUUUGCUUCUGAUUAACUUGCAG